GUAGAGCAUGAGACUCUUAAUCUCAGGGUC
rnacentral:piRNA from 2 species